GAAUCGUAAUUGUAUAAUAAUUCGAAUGAAAUUGCCAUGUUGGAUUUUGGCAGCAUAUGAAAUUUAUAAUGAUAAUCAUCGUCUCGUAAUUAGAGAUUUCCGAGCAUUGGGAGAAUACAGCACUAAAACACAUACCUAGUCUUAUAAUUAUGUUUACUGUUUUUUCUUCAUAUUCAUCGAGGAAUUUCUCGAGCCGAGAACAAAACAAAAACAGCCGAACGUUCGAAACUCUCAAGGAUAAACAGUAACGUAUCUCAUUUCCCUUCCGUCCUUCAACACGUUAAGAUCGGUAAAAGAGAAUGACGCAUUAAACUA
rnacentral:lncRNA from 1 species